rnacentral:lncRNA from 1 species
UGCUCAGAGGCAAAGGUGAGAUUCGAUCCUACGAUAAACUAUCAAGGUCUGCUAAUUAAGCUAGCUGCUACCUUAAAAAUGUAUGAGUUGAGAUUUCAAACUCCCAACCUUUGGUAAAAGGAUCCGGUACACCACCAUUAGAUCAAUGUUUAAGGAGUGAAAAAUGUGUCAACUGAAAUUUUUAUCACCAUCACCUUUGGUACGAGUAUGAUAUACCACCAUCAAACCAAUGUUUAAGAUAUCACAUAAGCUCUUAUUAUACAUCCUUUGAUGCAACUUCUAAAUCUUUGAGAAAGUUUCAAAGGAAUAGAUUGCAUGAAACUGUAAGUUGCCAUCUAUGUGCUUCAUUAGCUAACCAAUUUGCAGCAGCAUUAAUUGAUUGAUUGAUAUUUGUUUGAAGUCUGUUUUGAAACCAAUUGUCAUAAUUCGGUUUGACGUAUCUAUAAACCUAAUACAAAAUUCCAAAUCUUCUUUGUCCAAAAUAUCUGAACCCUAACUAUAAAGAUAUCAAAUUUAAUGUUAUCUUUUGUCUAGAACUCUUACCAUUGUAAAUUUGACAGGGUCCAUAGUCAAUGACUUUCCUUCAUUCGUUGAUGCAGAAUGUACACUAUAAGUCAGAAUAGAAGUUUCAUGUAAGACUGGUACCUUGUGAUGCUUCUAGUUUCCAUAUCCCAUUCAUGUCUUGUGCCUCCACUGUUGCUCGGGAGCUGGGUGUAUUCCUGCCUAACUCUCCUGACAACAUGAACUCAGAACCCAAGACCAAGUUGAACUCUAAAAGCCUGCACUCAUGCUUAUUCUUAUAUGCUUAGCAUCACAACACAGGUCACAAGAUACAGAAACAGGUGGCGUGUUCCCUGGUAUGACCUUUAAGAUGUGCUUCCUCCUUCCUGCCCCAUCUGUGAGAUCAAGAUUUCUCAGCGAUCUGAAUCACAAGCGGGGAGGUACAAAAGCACUAAGCCUUUCUCCACCACUUUCUUCUUACACCAGGGACUGAGUUCUUUCUGCUGAGUCAUAUGUAUAAUGAUGAUAUUUUGUUUAUGUAAUCAAGGACAACAACAAUAUAAAUCAGCCCCCACCUCAUUCUGUAUGAUGUCACAAUCUUGCUAUCUUGUAAUAGCUACAUAGCACAAUACAAAAAAUGCAAAUUCUUUUUACAGCUGCCUGCAACUCUGGGCAUAUUACAACUCGUUAUCUCAAAAUCUAAUUUGUUUUCCUUUUCAUCUCAAAAUCUAAGUUCACUGGAAGAUAUCAUGAUCGAACUAUUAUGAUCUUAAAAUCUAAGUUUACCAGAACAGUUCAGCUCAUAAGAGUUCAUUCAUGAUAUGCUUUCUUAGGAAGAGCCUGUAAACUAUAGCAGAUAAAGCAGAUCCCUGGCAUUUCUAGACAAAUUGUUCUUGAAGUCCAAAAAGCAAAUAAUUCCACUGUUCCAAGUAGACCACUACAUGCAAGUGUCAAUCAUGGCAUCCCAUUCUCAAUCCUAGAAGAAUGUCAAAACCUAAAGCUUUUCCAGUUCAAAUAAAUCUGCACUAUUUUCUCUAUAAAAGCUUCAGCUUAACCUUCACUCCCUAACCAUUGUACUUAACAACUUGUUUCCUUACUUGCUGCCUCUCCUCUUGCUUCAAUGGCUCUGCCCACUCAACUGCUCUUCUUCUUACCUCUACUUCUCCAACAUCCCACCAGAGCAGAGACAUGCAGCGAUUGCUUCACCCAAUCCAGGGCAGCUUACUACCCAAAUUCUGAUAAAACAGGAACAGAGAGGAAGAUCCAAACACCUGCAUGAAACAUGUUUUCUGUCGGUGUGUCAUUAAUUCUUUUGCUCAGAUAAUCUCAACUUCUCAUCUGACUUAAGCUGGUUCAUU